GACGAACGCUGGCGGCGUGCUUAACACAUGCAAGUCGAGCGGAAAGGCCCUUUGGGGUACUCGAGCGGCGAACGGGUGAGUAACACGUGAGUAAUCUGCCCCCUACUUUGGAGUAACGCCCGGAAACGGGUAGCCUAAUACCGGAUAUGACUGCUCUCUGCAUGGGGGUGGUGGAAACUUUUGGUGGGGAGUGUGGCUCGCGGCCGUAUCAGCUUGUUGGU
rnacentral:rRNA from 1 species